rfam:Triticum aestivum genome assembly, contig: Triticum_aestivum_CS42_TGACv1_scaffold_221125_3B
AUGGUACCCUUUCGUCCGAAAAUACUUGUCAGAGAAAUGGGUGUAUCUAGAUGUAUUUUAAUUUUAAAUACAUCUAUUUUUAUGCAUUUUUCCGACAAGUACUUCCGGACGGAGGGAGUAGUAC